GCAGUCGAGCGGUAACAGAAAGUAACUUGGUACUUUGCUGACAAGCGGCGGACGGGUGAGUAAUGCGUGGGGAUCUGCCCGGUCGAGGGGGAUAACCCUUGUAAACGACAGCUAAUACCGCAUACACCCUACGGGGGAAAGCAGGGGACCUUCUGGCCUUGCGCGAUUGUAUGAACCCCCGUGAGAUUAUCUUGUUGGUGAGGUAACGGCUCACCAAGGCGACAAUCUCUCUCUGGUCUGAGAGGAUGACCCCUCACACUGGGACUGAGACACGGCCCACACUCCUACGGGAGGCGCCACUGGGGAAUAUUGCGCAAUGGGGGAAACCCUGAUGCACCCCUGCCCCGUGUGUGAAAAAAGCCUUCUGGUUGUAAAGCACUUUCUCUGGGGAGGAAAGGAGGUUGGCUAAUACCUGACCUCUGUGACGUUAACCACACAAAAAACACCGGCUAACUCCCUGCCC
rnacentral:rRNA from 1 species